UAUUGCACAAUGGGGGAAACCCUGAUGCAGCGACGCCGCGCGAGCGAUGAAGUAUUUCGGUAUGUAAAGCUCUAUCAGCAGGGAAGAAAAUGAAGGUACCUGACUAAGAAGCCCCGGCUCACUACGUGCCAGCACCCGCGGUAAUACGCAGGGGGCAAGCGUUAUCCGGAUUUAUUGGGUGUAAAGGGAGCGUAGGUGGCAGGGCAAGUCAGAUGUGAAAACCCGGGGCUCAACCCCGGGAGUGCAUUUGAAACUGUCCAGCUGGAGUGCAGGAGAGGUAAGCGGAAUUCCUAGUGUAGCGGUGAAAUGCAUAGAUAUUAGGAGGAACACCAGUGGCGAAGGCGGCUUACUGGACUGUAACUGACACUGAGGCUCGAAAGCGUGGGGAGCAAACAGG
rnacentral:rRNA from 1 species